AUACGGAGGAUCCGAGCGUUAUCCGGAUUUAUUGGGUUUAAAGGGAGCGUAGGUGGAUUGUUAAGUCGGUUGUGAAAGUUUGCGGCUCAACCGUAAAAUUGCAGUUGAAACUGGCAGUCUUGAGUACAGUAGAGGUGGGCGGAAUUCGUGGUGUAGCGGUGAAAUGCUUAGAUAUCACGAAGAACUCCGAUUGCGAGGACAGCUCACUUGACUGAUACUGACACUGAUGCGCGAAAGUGUGGGUAUCAAACAGGAUUAGAUACCCUGGUAGUCCAAACAGUAAAGGAUGCAUACUCGAUGUGUGCGAUAGACAGUAAGCGGCCAAGCGAAAGCAUUAAGUAUUCCACCUGGGGAGUACGCCGGCAACGGUGAAACUCAAAGGAAUUGCCGGGG
rnacentral:rRNA from 1 species